AUGAUGGCCUGGCGGAUGCUGCGAAGAAAGGAUGUCCACACAGGCCUCUUGAAUCUGGCCUUCCGCUCAGAUCAUGGUCGAACGAAGCAUUUCGCCAGUGGGACAUUGGGAAAGCUAUCACAGUUCGUCCAUGGCAAUGGACUCCAAGGUGCUGCUAACUGUACAGUCUUUAAACAGUCCACUAUCAGGAAUUUUCAUGCAGGUGUGUAUAUGUUGGCAUGGCACCAGAAAAAGGAGGAUGUUGUUGGGCUAAAAGCACCGAAAAGGGAGAAGCGAGUGAGAAAGGAAACUCGCAGUCAACCUCCUGUAGAAGCGCCAUAUAUUGCACCAAAACCAAAGCUGACCAAAUCAGCGCCAGAUAAAAUUGUUGAAAUUUUUGAUGGGAUGACAUUGCGUGACCUAUCUAAACGAUCUGGUGCAAAAAUCAAUGCGCUUCAAAGCAUACUUGCAGAUCUUGGCGAAAGGGUUGAAUCAGAGUUCGAUUCUAUUACCAUCGAUCUAGCUGAGCUAGUGGGUAUGGAACUUGGUGUUAAUAUCAGAAGAAUGCACACAGGUGAAGGCACAGUUGAACCACGGCCUGCUGUUGUAACAGUUAUGGGUCAUGUUGAUCAUGGUAAAACAUCGCUUCUGGAUUCCCUGCGGCAAACAUCUGUUGCUGCUAAAGAAGCUGGUGGGAUCACUCAGCAUAUAGGUGCCUUUGUUGUUGAGAUGCAAUCUGGAGCCUCUAUCACAUUUCUUGAUACACCAGGGCAUGCUGCAUUUAGUGCUAUGCGGGCUAGAGGUGCAGCUGUCACAGAUAUUGUAGUGCUUGUGGUUGCAGCAGAUGAUGGUGUGAUGCCUCAAACACUUGAAGCUAUGUCACAUGCAAAAGUAGCAAAUGUUCCAAUUGUAGUCGCCAUAAACAAAUGUGACAAAUCUGGAGCUGACCCUGAGAGGGUCAGAAUUCAGCUUGGUUCUGAAGGAUUGCUUUUGGAGGAUAUGGGUGGUGAUGUACAGGUUGUUGAAAUUUCUGCAUUAUCGAAACUUGGUUUGGAUAAGUUGGAAGAGGCUUUGCUCCUUCAGGCCGAGAUAAUGGACCUGAAAGCCAGAACAGAUGGGCCUGCUCAAGCUUUUGUGGUGGAGGCAAGGGUGGACAGGGGCAGGGGACCACUUGCAACAACUAUAGUUAAGUCCGGCACAUUAGUCAGUGGACAAUACAUUGUUGUGGGUGCAGAGUGGGGAAGAAUUAGAUCACUGAGAGACACGGUAGGGAAAGUAACAGAGUCUGCAAAACCCGCCAUGCCUGUUGAGAUUGAGGGGCUGAGGGGCCUCCCAAUGGCUGGGGAUGAUGUAGUGGUUGUUGACUCCGAGGAAAGGGCAAGAAUGCUUAGUCAAGGGCGGAAGAAGAAACAGGAGAAAGAUAGGCUUCGGAAGAUUGACGAAAACAUGACAGAGGAGGCAGAAAUUGGAGAAGAGACGCCUGAAAGAGUUGAGAUGCCCAUAAUUGUGAAAGCUGAUGUACAGGGCAGUGUUCAAGCAGUUACGGAUGCCUUAAGAAGUCUUAAUAGCCCACAGGUGUUUGUGAAUGUUGUUCAUGUUGGCGUCGGCCCUGUAAGUGAACAUGACAUUGAUCUGGCACAAGCAUGCCGAGCAUGCAUAGUUGGUUUCAACGUUCGUGAUCCACCGAGUGCGAUUACUCUAGGAGCAACACAAGCCAACAUAAAGAUUUUGCUGCACAAGGUGAUCUACCAUCUCCUCGAGGAAAUGGGAAGGCUGAUUGUGGAGAAGGCACCAGGGACUGCUGAAACCCAAAUUUCAGGGGAGGCUGAGGUUCUGAACAUAUUCGAGCUGAAAGGGCGUAGCAAGUCAAAAGGGCCAGACAUAAAGAUUGCCGGCUGCCGGAUAACCGAUGGGCGCUUUAGCAGAACUGGAACCAUGAGACUGUUGAGAAGCGGAGACGUUGUCUUUGAGGGUCCGUGUUCUUCGCUGAAGCGAGAGAAGCAGGAUGCUGACACGCUCGACAAGGGUACCGACUGUGGAUUGGUGAUCGAGGACUGCGACGAAUACCAGGUUGGGGAUACCAUCCAGUGCUUGGAGCAGGUGAUCAGGAAGCCCAAGUUCGUAUCGACACAAAGCGGCGCAGUCCGUAUAGAGUGCUGA
rnacentral:rRNA from 1 species